CUACAGAGGAGGACACUAUUGAGAUAGAAGAGGAGAGCCAAGGAGAGAAGAACCAGAAGGAUGCCUGGAAGAAGACAUGCCGGGUGGCCGACUGCUUCUUUGCUGAGCUGUCCAGUCCCUCAUCGGACUACGUCAAGUACUUUCAUCUGAAGAAGGAGGAGCUGACUGCCAAGAUGUAUCACUUAUAUAAUUCCUCCAUCUUUAGGGAGCAGUUACCUGAGAAAAUCAGCAUAACCUGGAACAAGAAGCUUCAUACAACUGCAGGAUACUGUCAUGUUUCAGGCAAGGAAAGUGGUCCACAGUCAUCACGCUCCAUCAGAAUUGAGCUUUCUGAGAAAGUCUGUGACUCUGCAGGUAAUGGGACAGAUAUGCCUCCACCGAGGCAAUGAGUGGCAUGCCCAGUGUGGGACCCGAACACCCUUCCCAACACUCUGGCUGAUAGCUUCAGCUUCUCCCAGGCACCUGGGCCAGAAACCUCAGAGUUAUUUUUGGACUCUCCCUACUCCCCUGUUUCUCAUCCCAAGCUAGUCACUAAGACCCAGUCCUUCUUCCUUGGUGAUAGUCCUUUUCUGCUCCUGUUGCCACCACCUUAGUGCAGGCCUUCACGAUCUCACACUUGGAUUGUUAGAGUUGCCUCAUACUUUGGCUGCGUCCUGCCUCCAUUCUCUUUUCUUCCAGGCCAUGGCUCUAAGUGAUGGUAUAGAAAAAGCUCUGGGUUUGGAAUCCGAGGAUCCAUGUGACCUCGUCCAAGUGCCUUUUCCUACUCUGAGCCUCUUUUUUCUCCCUUAUCAAAUGAGGGGACUGAAUCAAUGUAUAUCUCAGGACCUUCUCAGCUGUAACUCCUGUGGUUACCUUCCAGUCUGUCACCAGAUUAGCCUUGAAAAAAAGUUCCUAAUGCUCUCUUCUCCUUGGUACUCUCUGCUUUAUGGGUUUUCAUGCCACCUCUCUCUUUCCCUUAGUCUUGUCAGUGGAAUUACUAGCCAGAAGUGAAUUUGAAUUUGGCUAUAACAUUCUUGGGUGUUGUCAGUUGGGGAUUAAGUAUUGGAAGUGAUCUGUGGAUUCUUUCAAUCUCAACUUUUUCCUCUUGUUCUAGAAUAUCGGGGCAGUUUUCUUGGAUAAUUUCCUGUAGUAUGAUGUCCAGGCUUUUUCUUUUGUCAUGGUCUUCCAGUAGACCAAUGAUUCUUAAGUUGUUUCUCCUGGAACAAUUUUCUGAAUCUUAU